rnacentral:rRNA from 1 species
AGUCGAGCGGAGAUGAGGUGCUUGCACCUUAUCUUAGCGGCGGACGGGUGAGUAAUGCUUAGGAAUCUGCCUAUUAGUGGGGGACAACAUUCCGAAAGGAAUGCUAAUACCGCAUACGUCCUACGGGAGAAAGCAGGGGAUCUUCGGACCUUGCGCUAAUAGAUGAGCCUAAGUCGGAUUAGCUAGUUGGUGGGGUAAAGGCCUACCAAGGCGACGAUCUGUAGCGGGUCUGAGAGGAUGAUCCGCCACACUGGGACUGAGACACGGCCCAGACUCCUACGGGAGGCAGCAGUGGGGAAUAUUGGACAAUGGGGGGAACCCUGAUCCAGCCAUGCCGCGUGUGUGAAGAAGGCCUUAUGGUUGUAAAGCACUUUAAGCGAGGAGGAGGCUACUGAGACUAAUACUCUUGGAUAGUGGACGUUACUCGCAGAAUAAGCACCGGCUAACUCUGUGCCAGCAGCCGCGGUAAUACAGAGGGUGCGAGCGUUAAUCGGAUUUACUGGGCGUAAAGCGUGCGCAGGCGGCUUUUUAAGUCGGAUGUGAAAUCCCCGAGCUUAACUUGGGAAUUGCAUUCGAUACUGGGAAGCUAGAGUAUGGGAGAGGAUGGUAGAAUUCCAGGUGUAGCGGUGAAAUGCGUAGAGAUCUGGAGGAAUACCGAUGGCGAAAGCAGCCAUCUGGCCUAAUACUGACGCUGAGUACGAAAGCAUGGGGAGCAAACAGGAUUAGAUACCCUGGUAGUCCAUGCCGUAACGAUGUCUACUAGCCCGUUGGGGCCUUUGAGGCUUUAGUGACGCAGCUAACGCG